GAGUUUGAUCCUGGCUCAGGACGAACGCUGGCGGCGUGCCUAACACAUGCAAGUCGUACGCACUGGCCCAACUGAUUGAUGGUGCUUGCACCUGAUUGACGAUGGAUCACCAGUGAGUGGCGGACGGGUGAGUAACACGUAGGUAACCUGCCCCGGAGCGGGGGAUAACAUUUGGAAACAGAUGCUAAUACCGCAUAACAACAAAAGCCACAUGGUCUUUUAGUUUAAAAGUGGCUUUGGCUAUCACUCUGGGAU
rnacentral:rRNA from 1 species